GACGAACGCUGGCGGCGUGCUUAACACAUGCAAGUCGAACGGUGAAGCGCCUUCCUUUUUGGUGGGUGUGGAUGAGUGGCGAACGGGUGAGUAACACGUGAGUAACCUGCCCCCUUCUUCUGGAUAACCGCAUGAAAGUGUGGCUAAUACGGGAUAUUCUGGGUCUGUCGCAUGAUGGGUCUGGGAAAGAUAUUGUUUCGGUGGGGGAUGGGCUCGCGGCCUAUCAGCUUGUUGGUGGGGUGAUGGCCUACCAAGGCGGUGACGGGUAGCCGGCCUGAGAGGGUGGACGGCCACACUGGGACUGAGACACGGCCCAGACUCCUACGGGAGGCAGCAGUGGGGAAUAUUGCACAAUGGGCGCAAGCCUGAUGCAGCGACGCCGCGUGAGGGAUGGAGGCCUUCGGGUUGUGAACCUCUUUCGCCAGUGAAGCAGGCCUGCCUCGUUUGUGGGUGGGUUGACGGUAGCUGGAGAAGAAGCGCCGGCUAACUACGUG
rnacentral:rRNA from 1 species